CCUUCGGGCCCUGCGCUAUCAGAUGAGCCUAGGUCGGAUUAGCUAGUUGGUGGGGUAAUGGCUCACCAAGGGCGACGAUCCNGUAACUGGUCUGAGAGGAUGAUCAGUCACACUGGAACUGAGACACGGUCCAGACUCCUACGGGAGGCAGCAGUGGGGAAUAUUGGACAAUGGGCGAAAGCCUGAUCCAGCCAUGCCGCGUGUGUGAAGAAGGUCUUCGGAUUGUAAAGCACUUUAAGUUGGGAGGAAGGGUUGUAGAUUAAUACUCUGCAAUUUUGACGUUACCGACAGAAUAAGCACCGGCUAACUCUGUGCCAGCAGCCGCGGUAAUACAGAGGGUGCAAGCGUUAAUCGGAAUUACUGGGCGUAAAGCGCGCGUAGGUGGUUAGUUAAGUUGGAUGUGAAAUCCCCGGGCUCAACCUGGGAACUGCAUUCAAAACUGACUGACUAGAGUAUGGUAGAGGGUGGUGGAAUUUCCUGUGUAGCGGUGAAAUGCGUAGAUAUAGGAAGGAACACCAGUGGCGAAGGCGACCACCUGGACUGAUACUGACACUGAGGUGCGAAAGCGUGGGGAGCAAACAGGAUUAGAUACCCUGGUAGUCCACGCCGUAAACGAUGUCAACUAGCCGUUGGGAGCCUUGAGCUCUUAGUGGCGCAGCUAACGCAUUAAGUUGACCGCCUGGGGAG
rnacentral:rRNA from 1 species